GUUUAGCCCUAUUUUCCCCUUUCCCCUGUCAAUCAAAGUCAUCUUCUUUGUGAUAUCGUCCUUUCCAAUUUUUCUGAACUGAAGUGACUCUUGCCCUGACAGAUAAUUACUUGUAUUCGCGUUUUGAGUAUUGUGACCAAAUUGUGCUGACGUGCAGUCUCAGACGUCGUCGACACAUGCAGUUUGUGACAAGGUGGCAAUUCCCACACCUCCUCUUUUAGGUUGUGUGUGUGUUGUGCCCUAUAUGUGCAUGAGUGUGUCCAGGACGGACCACUCUUAUUUCCAUUUCCCCAUCGAAGACUGGUCCCCAGGAUUGAUGAUGAUGGAUGCCUGAUUAUGUGUCGAUGUUCUGAUUCUGACAGUGACUUGAUGUUACACGACAGACAUUGAAUGUUUUAAAUACAGUCCACUACUACUUGUCCAGACCGAGUGAUCACUGGAAAACCAACAAUUCGUAAUCAAACAUUGUCGCAGUUUCUAUAUUCAAGCAAUUUUGGAAAUUCAAAAGCGGUACGACUUAAACGAUCCUUUUUUGAAAUUGUUAAGCUUGUCAAUCCAGUCAAUGCCAGAAAAAGAAACCCCGACACUUUGAUUAAUCUAUUCAGGCAGUAUCCCAAUUUGGAAAAACAGUUGAAAAGUAGCCAGUCUGACCGAAAGUGGAGGAGUCACUCUCUUUUGGAACCGAUCUUGUUGCUUUGUGACUCCAAAGAUGAGGUUAGAGUUCUUGACACCGAAACGUAUUGGAACAGAGUGUUGUCUUUAAAGAUCGACGGAAAGCCGCUAGAUUUCCCAAUCUCAGCAUUUGUAUUGACUUUCUGUUUUCCAUGCCGUUCAGCAAUGUUAUAGCUGAACGGGAAUUAAGUGCUUUUAAACUGAUCAAAACCGACCAUCGUAAUCUGCUUCACAAUCUAACUGUUUGUUCUCUCCUUCGAAUCAAGCAUUGAUGGUCUAACGAAGAUCAUUUUGCUUCUAAUGUCGUUAUCCCUAAAAACUUGUCGAUAAAGUUAAGUCCGUUAAGGCUAAUGUAUCCAUUGCAAAUGGAAUGUUGAAGGGUUUUUAACCUUUUACAUGUUCUUACCGUUAACUUCCAACAACCUCCCAAAAAAUGUGAAAACUUUUUCAAUGUGAGAAUGUUAUUCGGAAAUGUUCAGUCAAACACUAGUCAAAAAGCAAUAAAGAAAUUCGUUUUGUUUUUUCAA